rnacentral:rRNA from 1 species
UUCCGGUUGAUCCUGCCGGACCUGACUGCUAUCGGAUUGAUACUAAGCCAUGCGAGUCUUUGUAGUAAUACAAGGCAUACGGCUCAGUAACGCGUAGUCAACCUACCCUAUGGACAAGAAUAAUCUCGGGAAACUGAGCAUAAUUCUUGAUAGAUCAUAAUGCCUGGAAUGGUUUAUGGUUAAAAUGAUUCGUCGCCAUAGGAUGGGACUGCGGCCUAUCAGCUUGUUGGUGAGGUAAUGGCCCACCAAGGCGAUUACAGGUACGGGCUCUGAGAGGAGAAGCCCGGAGAUGGGUACUGAGACAAGGACCCAGGCCCUAUGGGGCGCAGCAGGCGAGAAAACUUUGCAAUGUGCGAAAGCACGACAAGGUUAGUCCGAGUGAUUUCUGCUAAAGAGAUCUUUUGCUAGUUAUAAAACCACUAGUGAAUAAGGGGUGGGCAAGUUCUGGUGUCAGCCGCCGCGGUAAAACCAGCACCUCAAGUGGUCAGGAUGAUUAUUGGGCCUAAAGCAUCCGUAGCCGGCUCUGUAAGUUUUCGGUUAAAUCCAUACGCUCAACGUAUGGGCUGCCGAAAAUACUGCAGAGAUAGGGAGUGGGAGAGGUAGACGGUACUCGGUAGGAAGGGGUAAAAUCCUUUGAUCUAUCGAUGACCACCUGUGGCGAAGGCGGUCUACCAGAACACGUUCGACGGUGAGGGAUGAAAGCUGGGGGAGCAAACCGGAUUAGAUACCCGGGUAGUCCCAGCUGUAAACGAUGCAGACUCGAUGAUGCGUUGGCAUAUAGCCAGUGCAGUGUCGCAGGGAAGCCGUUAAGUCUGCCGCCUGGGAAGUACGUACGCAAGUAUGAAACUUAAAGGAAUUGGCGGGGGAGCACCACAAGGGGUGAAGCCUGCGGUUCAAUUGGAUUCAACGCCGGG